rnacentral:rRNA from 1 species
AGUAACGGCGAGUGAACAGGGAAAAGCCCAAAUUUGUAAUCUGGCACUUUUUACAAGUGUCCGAGUUGUAAUUUGUAGAGCUGUUAUCCGUACUGGACCAUGUACAAGUCUGUUGAAAAGCAGCAUCAUUGAAGGUGAAAAUCCUGUAGAUGAUAUGGACUACCAGUAUAUUUGUGAUACGGUUUCUAAGAGUCGAGUUGUUUGGGAAUGCAGCUCAAAGUGGGUGGUAAAUUCCAUCUAAGGCUAAAUAUAAGUGAGAGACCGAUAGCAAACAAGUACCGUGAGGGAAAGAUGAAAAGAACUUUGAAAAUAGAGUUAACAGUACGUGAAAUUGCUGAAAGGGAAACGUUUGAAGUUAGUUUUGUAUUCGUUGGAUCAGCUUCGCAAGGAGUGUAUUCUGAUGAUAAGCAAGUCAACAUCAGUCUAUGAGUGUUGGAUAAGGGUUUUGAGAAUGUAGCAAUUUAAUUGUGUUAUAGCUUGAGACUUGGAUACAAUGCUUUGGAUUGAGGAACGCGUAGUAAGCUUUGAGCGGAUUCGAAAGGAUCUCCUUACUAU